GCCGGGUUAGCUCACUCGGUUAAGGCGCUGCACUUGCGUUGCAGUAGUGAUUACUACAGCGUGGGUUCGAUACCCAGUCGUACCA